rnacentral:lncRNA from 1 species
CGGUGACUGGAUGGCGUUCGCGCUUGUUGGAUGCAUCUCCGCCUUGUCGUUUGUCGUUAUCCGACUGGCCGUUGUUGCCCGGAGCUCCCCCAUCUGAUAGCGGAGUCAAAGGAGCACAGCAAGAGGAGCAAGGUAAUCAACGAUGGUCGCAUGUCACGAGCCGUGGAAGCCGAAGACACUGGCCUCCCGCAAAGCAGUCUACACUCCUAACGAGAGACCCAGAGUGAAUACAAACAACAAAUAGUUUCUCCGUCCUGGAGCCUGAUCUUCCGGCACCUUCGUCGGUGAGGGUACCUGUGUCUGUGGCCGCAGUGCCUACUCCUACGAUUUCAAAGUCGAUGUCGGCAACCUUCCGUCCCUAAUCUGGAUCGAGUGGGGCUUCUCCAUCUGUCAGAGGCCUUCACAAGGCGCUAGGUGCAACGAGCUCAAGUUAUCCUGCCUCUCGCCCAUCCAUAAAAGGUUCUCUGAAUCCUGUGAAGCGUGGGAGUGGGUGGAUUUCCUUAUCCUUCUCGCCAGCCAUGAUUUUGGGGAGCUCCAUGGUAAGGAAUGUGACCAUUCCUGGUGCAAAAAUAAUGUCCUAUCACAGAGCUCGAGUAAAUGACAUUACUAAGCUGCUCCCGAAUGCACUACGUUAGGUCAUGAAUAUUGAUUCUAUCGUAGUCCAUGUGGGUUUUAAUGACAUUAUGAAAGGUAGCUCUGAACAGUUGAAACUGGAUUUCAAAAUGCUGAUUGACUCUCUGCUAGACCCUAAUAAAAGACCCAUCAUAUCAGGUCCUGUGCCCUCUCUGAAUUGUGGCAUUGAACGCUUUAGCAGGAUUCUUUCUCUUCACAACUGUCUACGUGAUUAUUGCAGCUCAAUGGGUGUAACUUUUGUGGACAAUGUUGAUACCUUGUGGAAACAAAACACGUCUUAUAAGGAGGAUGGGAUCCACCCAAAUCACUUUUCACAGCAUUAUAAGGAUGUGUUGAGACAAUGACUUACCAAUGACCCAAGCCCAGCUCAGUUAAUCACUACCAUUGUGAUGCUGUGUUGUCAUAAUGCUUCAGAAAAUGUACAUUAUACCAGGGGUGUUGGUAGACACAAUUGUUUGUUUCCCAGUUUUCCCGGUUCUGACCAUUCUGCCUGCCCUGACCCCGAGCCUGCCUGCCGUCCUGUACCUGCCUGACACUGACCUGAUUAUGAAACUCUGCCUGCCCUGACCCCGAGCCUGCUUGCCGUCCUGUACCUGCUUGACUCUGACCUGACUCAUACCUCUGCCUGUCCUCGGCCUGCCCUUUGGCCCAUGUUAUAAUAAAUGAUUGAGAACUGUAAUGUCCGCCA